CCUACGGGUGGCAGCAGUAGGGAAUAUUGCUCAAUGGGGGAAACCCUGAAGCAGCAACGCCGUGUGAAGGAUGAAGGUUUUCGGAUUUUUAACUCCUUUUUUUAGAGAAGAUAAUUACGGUAUCUAACGAAUAAUGACCGGCUAACUCCGUGCCAGCAGCCCCGGUAAUGCGGAGGGUGCCAGCGUUAUUCGGAGUCACUGGGCGUAAAGCGCGUGUAGGCGGGAUAGCAAGUCAGUUGUGAAAUCUUAGGGCUUAACCAUAGAACUGCAUUUGAAACUGUUAUUCUAGAGUAUGGGAGAGGUAGGUGGAAUUCUUGGUGUAGGGGUAAAAUCCGUAGAGAUCAAGAGGAAUACUCAUUGCGAAGGCGACCUGCUAGACCGUAACUGACGCUGAUGCGCGAAAGCGUGGGGAGCAAACAGGAUUAGAUACCCGGGUAGUC
rnacentral:rRNA from 1 species